AGAUUGAACGCUGGCGGCAGGCCUAACACAUGCAAGUCGAGCGGCAGCACGGGUACUUGUACCUGGUGGCGAGCGGCGGACGGGUGAGUAAUGCCUAGGAAUCUGCCUGGUAGUGGGGGAUAACGCUCGGAAACGGACGCUAAUACCGCAUACGUCCUACGGGAGAAAGCAGGGGACCUUCGGGCCUUGCGCUAUCAGAUGAGCCUAGGUCGGAUUAGCUAGUUGGUGAGGUAAUGGCUCACCAAGGCGACGAUCCGUAACUGGUCUGAGAGGAUGAUCAGUCACACUGGAACUGAGACACGGUCCAGACUCCUACGGGAGCAGCA
rnacentral:rRNA from 1 species